GACGAACCGUGCGAACGUUAUUCGGAAUCAUUGGGCUUAAAGGGCGCGUAGGCGGCGGUGUAAGUUGGAAGUGAAAUCCCAUCGGCUCAACCGUGGAAUUGCUCCCAGUACUGCAUCGCUCGAGGGGGAUAGGGGUUUGCGGAACUACCGGUGGAGCGGUGAAAUGCGUAGAUAUCGGAAGGAACAUCGGUGGCGAAAGCGGCGCGCUGGGUCC
rnacentral:rRNA from 1 species